rnacentral:rRNA from 1 species
UACGAAGGGGGUUAGCGUUGCUCGGAAUUACUGGGCGUAAAGCGCACGUAGGCGGUCUUUUAAGUCGGGGGUGAAAUCCUGGAGCUCAACUCCAGAACUGCCUUCGAUACUGGAAGACUCGAGUCCGGGAGAGGUGAGUGGAACUGCGAGUGUAGAGGUGAAAUUCGUAGAUAUUCGCAAGAACACCAGUGGCGAAGGCGGCUCACUGGCCCGGUACUGACGCUGAGGUGCGAAAGCGUGGGGAGCAAACAGG